rnacentral:rRNA from 1 species
GAUGAACGCUGGCGGCGUGCCUAAUACAUGCAAGUAGAACGCUGAAGGAGGAGCUUGCUCUUCUGGAUGAGUUGCGCACGGGUGAGUAACGCGUAGGUAACCUGCCUGGUAGCGGGGGAUAACUAUUGGAAACGAUAGCUAAUACCGCAUGACAACAGUUAUUGCAUGAUAACUGUUUAAAAGGGGCAACUGCUCCACUACCAGAUGGACUUGCGUUGUAUUAGCUAGUUGGUGAGGUAACGGCUCACCAAGGCGACGAUACAUAGCCAGCCUGAGGGGGAUGACGGCCAACCUGGGACAGAGACUCGUCCCAGACUCCUGCAGGGAGCAGCAGUAGGGAAUCCUCGGCGAUGGACGGGAAGCUGACCGAGCGACGCCGCGGGAGUGAAGAAGGUGUUCGGAUGGGAAAACUCUGUUGUAAGAGGAGGACGAGUGUGAGAGUGGAAGGAUCGCACAGUGACGGUACCUGACCAAAAAGCGACGGCUAACUACGUG